UACAGAGGUGGCAAGCGUUGUUCGGAAUUACUGGGCGUAAAGGGCGCGUAGGCGGCCUUGUAAGUCCUGUGUGAAAUCCCCCGGCUCAACUGGGGAACUGCACAGGAGACUGCUUGGCUUGAGCUCGGGAGAGGGAAGCGGAAUUCCGGGUGUAGCGGUGAAAUGCGUAGAUAUCGGAAGGAACAUCAGUGGCGAAAGCGACUGCCUGGACCAGAACCGACGUUCAGGCACGAAAGCGUGGGGAGCAAACAGG
rnacentral:rRNA from 1 species